CGCCUUUGCGAGUGAGUCCUCUCUGCGAUUUCCGUGUGUGUGUUUGUGUCUGUGUUUGUGUCAGUGCCAAGUGCCCAAGUGCCCAAUUGCCCAAGUGUCUGUGUCUGUGUCUGUGGUGGUGCAAGUGGCCGUGUGUUUGUGGCAGCCAGGAUUGCAGUGCUCCAGCUCCCGAGGAGCGAAAUUCCGGAGCCAGGCGAAAAGUGAAAGGUUGAGGCUCUGAUGCCCAGAUCCUGCGAUCCUGCGAUCUCACGAUUGGAAAAGUGUUAAAGUGGAAUUCUCAAUCGUGAAUAAAUGCUAAUUGAAUAAAAGUUCGUGUAAUGAUCGCCGUCGUAUAGUGUGAAAGUUUCGCAUUGGAUUCGAUCUCCCAGUGAGAAUUACGUCAGUUGGCCAAAAAGAGAUGAGAAUCUUCUAGCCAGGUUACAAUCGAGCCAAUAACCAGCGAGCAGCCGCAGCAGAUGAAACUGAGCCAAAGGCCUUCAAGCUGAUCCCAGAAGCCAGAAGGAUUCGGCUUAUAGCGCAGCUCCAUUUGGGAGCCCACUGCAGCACUUUUGUACGCCGUGAGAAUUGCGGAACCAACAGGGUUCUGCCGACUCGAACUACUCACAACCGUCAUCCGAUCUGUCGCUAGACGAGGAAAAGGAAUCGCUUCGGCGAGAAAAGGAACGU
rnacentral:misc_RNA from 1 species